rnacentral:lncRNA from 1 species
UUUUUCUAUUUAAUCCUUCUUAUAAUUCCAGAAGUUUUAAAUAUUUAAAUUUUUCGCGCGCCUGGAUGAAAAAAAAGUCAUGUCAUCUUAGCCAAUCAGAAAACUACUAAUAUGAAUCUAUGGCAUAUGGCGUCAGUCUGGUAUCGAAACUCAAUCGUAAUAGCACGCGUCAGUUCGUAUCAAAUAUAAACGAUAUUUGUGCUACAAUUUAUAAAUUUUGUUUAACUAAUACGUUAUUUAUUCGCAAGACGUUACUAUUAAACAGUUCUUUUGAAGUUUUUUUACUUUUUUGUUGAUCAAUUAUUCGAGUGUUAAAUUUGCCGGUAUACAUCUGAAGUAUACAUCUGAAACAGGAAUUGAUGUUUUCACUCGUUCCAUGCUCGAUGUGUUUCAACGUGUCCCGAUCUGUUGCUAAACUCUCGAAUAUAUCCCCUCCCAUAUUUGUAUUUGUGCGAUGACGUCACAGUGCAAAAAACUUGUAACCGCUAGAAUUGUGAAAAAGCUUCGCAUCGACAAGAUGGAGGUGGCGGAAGACCGGUCCUCGAGGAUCGGAGGCGUCGUCCUCGCCGAUGGCCCCGCGGAUUGUCGCCCGCUUCGACCGCCGCUCGACGACGCGCACGGCUCGUCCGACCAACCCGUCUGCCCUCGAGACAUCCUGAAACCGUACAUGGAACAAGAAACACGGAAUUCGCGUUUACAAGAAUGUGGACGAGGAGAGCGGGAGAGAAUGGAGAUCCACGGGGCGUACGAGGUCACGGAGGAGACGAGUUAAACAGCAUCCAACAUCCUCCUCCCCCUCCUCCUCCUCCGUAUAUGCGCACGGAGGCUAUUCUCCGUCGGAAUGCAUCGAGCGGCAAAUGUUCUCCUUUUCUUCCUCCAGUGUGGAGGAGGGGAGGGGAGGGCGAUUGUUCAGCACGGCGAAAAUUCGGCGAUUCCCCGAAGUAAAGUGGAAGAAGUCUCACUGGAAGGAAACGCGUUCCAUUUUCAUUCUACCAUGAUCUGAAGCUCGAUCCUAAAGAGAAUUGUAAGUUUAAUAGGUGGUGGAAUAAAAGGGGACGUGGAGAGGUGUCUUCCGAAGGCGAGCGAUUUUCUUCUUGCGAACAAAGAGAGUCGAGGCAAUAUCGUUUUGGACGGAGAUUUGGCUACAUGUAAUUGGACACAUCGAAUUUGCAUCGGGUUUAGAUGCAAGCGGCCGACAUCCUUGCGAUUCCACCGUUUAUAAACUUACGAAGAGGAAUGUCCAUCAUCUACCACUUUGAACCACUUUGGAUUCGUGAGCUUGUAUCGUAACUAUCAACUCGUAUCUAUAUCACGAUCCAUGAAUGAUCGUAUGAAUGCGUAGCUAGCUGUCCAAUAGCCCCAUAGAGAAUGAUCCAUGACGAGCACGGCAUCCGUCUUAAUCAACCGGCAAGUUUUCGAGAGGCUUAAUGAAGCGGAAGCUAUCCUUUUGACGCACCGAGUUAUUAGACAAACCUCCUGUUUCAAGAUUAUCUCCUACAAGCUUUGAAAAGGAAGAAUCCGUGCGGUUCCCACCCUCAAAACCGAGCAAUAAUUACGCGAUAUCGCGCUCAUUUCCUCUCCCCUCUCUCUGUCUGUCUUUCACGCCGAAAAGGAACAGGAUCCGGAGAAACUUUGCAAUUAUCGCGACAUCCGUGAUCUCGCGAAAUAAUCAGAGAGAGAAAGGAAGUCGUCAUUUCACUCUGGAAUGGAAAAUUAUUUCUCUAAAAAGAUACGAACAAGACGGGGUGUUUUCUUAAAUUAAGGGGAGGAAUCUGAGAGAUGAUUGGCGAGGAAGAAUUGGUGGAGAUUAUUGGUAGAGAUUGAUUUUUGAACGAUAAACUUAAGAUCCACGUCCCGUGGAUGCUCGUAUUUCCAGGAGGGGCGGAAUUUACGGCCCUCGAGGACGUAACGUCCUCGAGAGAGAGGGUAGCGAAGGGCAAGGCUCAAUUCGUCUCCCGGCCAUUGCCGUUUCACUCGACCCAUUAUUAAGGGGAAUAUUAUUUUAUUUCGCCUUUUUCCGUCAUCAACCGUAUCCAGAAUCGCCCCGUUCAAGCGUCAGAUACGGCGAGACUCGUUAACGACCGGUUGGGAAAAGAUAAGCCUCCCUUUUCUAUUAACACGUACCGAGUUGUUCCAGGAAAUUUAACGAUUGCGAAUAUUUGCUAAAACAGUCUCCCUCUCCUGAGUUUUUACUCUCUCUCACACACACACAUACGUAAUUCGAAUUAAUACACCGAUAAACUUACCCCUUCUCUCUCCACUUUUCCCUUUCCUUUCGUCGAGGUUUUCCGUCACGCAAAGAUUUUUCCAGAAGCGAAAUCUCGACCAGAAGCGAGAAAAAGGAAAGAAAGGGAGACUCGGAACAGUCUCUCUGUAUCUCUCAUAAAAAAGAAAAAAACAAAAAAAAGGGAAACGUAUUAUCUACCCUCCAUUGUCCCCGGAGCCGCAGUUUUAUUUAUUCAGAAACGAAGCAGGUUAACUCGGACAAUAUCUCCCCCCGGUUAACGACGCGAUAAUUAAUAUCGAGUUAAGGACAAUGGCGGGGUCCCCAAGUGGCGGUGAAUAUGAUCGAAAAGAACAAUGGGGAGGCGAAUUUCACGCGGCGGGGGAGCGUGCCACGAAUGGAAUACCGAAUGAAUCCGCGCGGAUAGGUUGGACGCGGAAGAAAGAGAGGGAGAGGGUUGAUCGACGACGACACCGUGGUGUCGAGGUUACGUCCCAACCCUUGAAGAGGGGUGAGAACUUGGGAGAUUUACCGGGGCCGCUUAAGAGGGCCGGCCGGCCGACCCGGCUACCUUCAAAUUAGUUACAUCCACGCGAGAAGAUAGAUUAAAUAUUCAUUUAUCGCGGCCGGGGAAGAACCCUUGUCCUCGAGGAACAGGGGGGAGGGGAGAUAUUCCUCCUCUUCCUCUUUUUCCAUCCGCGCGCGCUCGACCGACAGUUAUAUUCGUGCGUGCGUGGUUUAUUGGCCAUAACUCCGGCGCAGCUACAAACGGCGGCUAUACACAACCCCUUUCCACUCACCCUUUUUACGCGCGCACGCGAGUAUACAGGGUGUUUGAGGAAAAGGAUAGUUGAAGGGGAUUAUACGAGCGGCGAUGUAAAAUUUCUUUGUCCACGAAUGUUGCAAAAUCUCCUUAGAUUCAUCGAUCUUGAGUUAAUUUCGAAUUAUUAUAUUCGAUAAUAAAAAGAAUGGAAUUACGUUUUUCUGAAAUUUUGCACACUCUGUAUAAGAGAAGAGACGCAGCCCCCAUUAUUUCAUGCGUAGCGAGCAAUGCGUAGUAUGUAAUGCAAUUACGCUCCUCCUGUUGUAAUCAUAUCGUUUUUACAGCAAUUACGAACGAGCCCUUUACACGGUUAUACCACUUAUGCCAACCGGCAUUAUUCUCUCGUUUCGCCCCUUAAUGCGCUCUAUCCGCACGACACCUGGAUACGAUUAGACCGUCUGGUCUAUCUUGAUUGUUAAUCCUGGAGGGGAAAAAUUAGAAAUGGAAUAUGAUGGUUGAACGAAUAGAAUAAGUCAAUCAUUUGUUGGUUAUUUGUCAGACAAGGAGAACGAGAGAGGAUAUUAGCUCGUUGAAAAAGUAACCAGUUGACAAUUUCGAAUAAAGUUACUUCGAUUAAUUAUUUAUUCGCUUUUCCUCGUUAGUUAAUCUCGAUCAGUACAAUUAUUCGAUAUUGUUUUUGAAGAAUAGAUUAUUGAAGUAAUUUAUCCAAAGUUUAUUCGUAGCUUCAACUAUUAAAUUUUCUCCAUCGCUGGGGAUACAGUCGUAGUUAAAUGAGUAGUGUAAGUCGGUCGUUUGUCAGGCGAGUAACACGGGUCAGUUUAUCCAUCCGAUAAAUAUUGUGGAUCAAUCAUUUGUCGUCGGACUAAGGCAAUCGGUAGAAAGGAGGCUUUUACGGCCGGACAAAUGGUAAAGCUGCGUUACUAUUAUCAAACAAGUAUAGAUCAGUCAUUUGUCAGGCAAGUGGAAUAAGUCAAUUAAUAGAACGUCGGAGGAAUACAGUGCAUCGUUAUGAUCGUAAUAUACAAGGAUUGUCUCCGGAUUAAACGAUCAAACUGUGCACGAGAAUAUAUUCUACGAGUGAAAAUAAGAAAAAGAUAUCACUUUGAUGAUUUAUUGUUCAAAACGUGACGAGAAUUUUAAUAAGUAAUUACUCGAAGUAACUUCAUUCCAAAUUUUUAACUUCAAAAUCACUUCGAUUCACGGAUUAAAUAUCCAACUCUGUCUGCGAGGAAUAGCGAUGAAGUUCAAACGUCAAUUAGCGGCAAGAAUCAGAACAGGAAGGAUUAACAGCGCAUUUCACUUCCGCGCUUCCAGAGCAGAAGAUAAAGAUGAAAUUGGAGGGGGAGUGAUAAAUUCAAUUUCCCUUUGGAAAUGGAAACGUAAACUUCCUUUUCGUGGUAAUAAAGCGUGAUAAUAAAACAGGUUUGCGGAAGACCUAUGUUUCGAUCUAUGUUCUUUUCUUAUUUUUACUCGCACAAGUAUCGAUCGGCCUAAUCCCAUACACGAAUAAUACUCCAAUUCGAGCUCCAAUUUUUCCCUUGCAACGUUCAAAGAAUCAUAGACUCGUAGAAGAAUCGUAGAAAACAGAGUUUGCGCCUCUCUCCCUUCUUCCUCCCCCUGAAUGCAGGUCAAUAUCGAACGGUUGAUUAUCAUACACGAGAGGUGUGUACGAUGGCACGCGACACUCGAGAUCGAUCGGGCGUACGCACGGUGUAACGAUGGAAGAAUGAAUGAAACCGACCCUCCCUCCGAUUACACGCCGUUAAUUACGCCGCGUUCAGCGUUAUCGUGGCCGGGCCGAGUGAUUAGUGGGAAGAGGGGAAGCGAGGCUCGAACGGAAGGGAAGGAAAGGUGUUGUGGCGCGAGUUUUUCUGAAGGUAUCAGCGGGGGGGAAUUACACGGUGAUGCGUGGAUAAAUUGCAUCCCAGAUUAAAUUUAGAUAGGCGCCGGUGAAAUGAAGUUUAAUGUUAAUUCGUACGCUUGUUAUUCGAGCGUAGAGUAAUUGGAUUUAUUUUGUAACUGAACGCAUCCUUUAAGAUUCUUCGAAAUUAAUCGAUUUCCGAUUAAUCUAAAUUCUCUAAAUUCGAUAUAAAGAAAAUAGUUAAAAGUGGUUGAAAAGGGAGGAAAAAGUAUCCUUCCUCUUCUCUUCUUUCCUUUCAAAUUUCGACGAAUCGAGGAUCGACGUGAAAAUUAGGAUCGAAUCGGUUAAGCCUUCAACAACGUUGCUCUUCCUUCCUUUCCACGGCAUUCCAUCCACACUUUCGAACGACACAAUUCGUUCAAUUUCUCGAAUAACAAUCUCGAAGGGUUUACGAGUGGAUAAGUACAACCAUAUUUCGUGACAUUUCGAUGGUUAUCAGAAUUUUCGCCGAUUUAUCGCAAAUUAUCCUUUAACGAACUUUCGCGCGCGCGGAGACGCUCGAGAAUAAUCACAUUCGCGAUUUCUUCGUCAAUCGAAGUUGCUCGUAAUCGAGUUUAUCUCGUUAUAUUCGGGUGGAAGUGUCGCGAAUCGGGUGGAAAAUAGAGGAUUGUUAAAAGGAGGGAUAAAAUCGACUUUUGGUUUCUCGGAUAUCUGAAAUUUGGAAGACGAAGAAUUUUACUUGGGAUUUAAUUCGUUCUCUCAAAAAAGAAGAAUUGUAUGAUAUAUAAAGCGACGUUUAAAUUUAAUUUAAUAAUUGGAAUAAUUAAUGUGAUAUUAAUUUCGAGCUCUUUUUUAUUAUGUUUACGAAGCUGAAAUCCUAUCUUGUGUAUUUUAUAAUUAGAGCCGCAGUGAACGUUUCGUUCUCUCUAAGAGAAGAAAGAAUUAUAAUUGGCGCCAGUUUAUUCGCAAUUAAAAUCGCAUUACACAAA